UAGCAGAUUUGAUUCUGGUUUCUGUUAUAGGUUGAUUUUUGAUGAUACAUGCUAACCGUGUGGGCUAGUGAGGAAGUGAAUGUAUAAUAAUUAUAAAUUAUAUAUGUGUUUAAGCAUAAGAUUGAUCGUUUGCUUUGAUUUAUCCACUCCAUAAAGGUUAUAGCAGUACUUAGUAUUGGUAGGAUGCGUAAGCAUGCAUCAGCAUAAAUUUUUAGUAUGUGGCAAAGAUUGUGCCAGCCGCCGCGGUUACACCUGAACAUAGUCUUAUAACAUUUUAGGAUGUAAUUUAGUUAAUAAUUUUAAGGCAUUUACAGAGGUGUGGUCGUAUACUUUCUCUUUAGGGGGCUUGAAUAGAAGUAGUUACACGGAAUAAAGGAAUAAACCAGGAUUAGAGACCCUGCUAUACUUUAUUAGUUAAUAUGUGGUUAGUAUAAAUUAUGUUUGAAAACCAAAGAUUUUGGCAGUGGUUAAGGUCUGCCCAGAGGAGUUUGUUCUGUUAAUUCGAUAAUCCGCGAGGAUCUCACUUUAAUUUGUAAUACAGCUUAUAUACCGCCGUCGUCAGCCAAUGUUAUGAAAGAAUAGGAAUUGGCUAAAAGAGUAAAUUCUUAACGUCAGGUCAGGGUGUAGCUAAUGUUAGAGGUAAGAAUGAAUUACAAUUAUUUAAUAUUAUCGGGAGUUAUAUAUGUAAUUAUUAACUUAAGUUGGAUUUGGUAGUAAAUUGUUAUUAUAGUGAAUAAUUGAUUGUAGCGCUUAAGUAUGCACACACCGCCCGUCAUUUUCCUGAAGCGAUAAAGGAAAAAAGUCGUAACAAGGUAGGGCGUCUGGAAGGACUCCCUGGUAAAUCAG
rnacentral:ncRNA from 1 species